rnacentral:lncRNA from 1 species
UAACGGCAUAUACUUAGAUAUUUCUCCCCCUUUUUGACAACAUCAAAAAAAUAGGGAAACAUUAAGCACAAAGAUAAGAACACUCAAAUAUUUCUUUCCCUUAUUGUACUCUGAUUGGAAUGUUAAAUUAUUGCAAGGAUAUGAAUCAUAUAACUUAAGGCAAUAAUAUUGGAAUCAGAUUAGUGAGCACAGAUCAGAGCCAAUUAAGAUAGUUUUCAAAACAGAACACAUUAAAUGUGAUUUCAAGAAGUUUUCUAAUUUGAUACCAUAGAUAGUUUUCUAAUCAAGUGUAGAUGGCAUCUUCCUUAGGUUAAUUCAAGAAGUCCUACAAAUGAUAUUCAAAGAAAACACGAGUGGAAAUCUAACUUCUCUUCACUAAGUAUGAAAGCUUGUUCAUAAAAAUAUGAAUUGGCACACAAUUUAAGUUCUAAAGAUCAAGUCAAUUAGGACUUAUUAGUGAUUAUCAAAAUAGAUUUUCUAAAAGAUACUCAAGAAAAUUUUACACGUUAUUCUCCCCCUUUUUCAUUAAAUUAGAGGCUCUUAAGAUUUGUAAUUUGGUUCAUGAGUGAUGCAUAAGAUAUACUAACCAAAUAAC